UAUUUUCAACAUUUCAAAACAUGUAUUUAUGCAUCUGUAACUGCUCUUGACUGAUUAACUUUAAUAAAGUUUAAUCUAUAGUUAAAUAGUUAGGCUACAUUAGAUUACAAUUUCUGUACCUGAAAAUCUCCUGUUUAAACCGACACACGAAAAGCUCGAAAAGCAAUUGUUCUGUUGUAUUUAUUUGUGCUAUUACUCAUAAUUUGAUUAUUUGUUACUGCUUUAUUACUUUAUUUGUCUAACAAUAUUUAAAAUAGUUAGGCCUAUAUAAAUAUAGAGUUAAUAUAGUAGCUUUUGGUGGCACAUUCCUGUGCGUGACACUUGAGAGCCCUAUUUAAGGUUGCAUGUAUCGAAAACAACAAUAGGCUUAUUUUACAGGCCCAUUUUCUUGGGGCAAGUAAAAAUUUGAACCACUGGCCCGAUAUUACAUUAUAAACACCUUUGAAACAGUCUUAUUUUGUUGUGCCGUAUCGCGAUUCUUCUUUUUUCAUCCCCAAAAUUUAAGACAUUUUAAAAUGACAAUUAAGAAGUUACCAUUUAAGAAUUAAUCAUUUUUAUUCAUUUUUAUUUAUUUAUUUUAAUCAUUUUUAUGUUCUUAAAUUUCCUAAAACCGUGGAUUGUUUCCCUAAUAAUCUACAUUUAUACAUUCGAACAUAUUUUUUAGUGUUAAAUGCAAGUGAAUCACUCUCGAGCACUGGAUGGAGCACUAAAAGAUAUUACCAAGUUUCUCCAUAUUAUAUUUUGUCGUCCAGGAUAAAAGUUCGUUGUCAUCUCACAAGUAGGCUAUCUUCUUACAUUAUCCUUCUUUUCUUGCCUUCCUCCAGGAGUGUGUGCGCGCCAAACGAAAGAAAUUACGUGAGUGGAGAAAAUUUUGAAUUUUGAUUUGACGAAUCUGAUUGGCUUAUUUUGCUGUCCGUUGCUGAGGCAAAUCAAGCGGCUCUGAGGCAAAUCUAUUCUAAUUAAACUGUUCAAAGAUUUAAGACAAGAAAGCUGCCACCAUUGUGUUCAUAAAAUGGAUAAAUAUGUUAAGGACAGAAAUGUUGAGACACAAAGAGGAAUGACCUGCUGGAAUACGAAGCGGUUGGAGUAAAUAAGGCACCAAAAUGAGAGCUUUAUUUGAAUACGCAAACGAGAGCCUUGUGGAAAUAAGAAAGGCAGAGCGUCAGUGGAGAGACACACAAAAUGGCAACUCCUACAAAACCAAAGGGCUUGCUGUGUUGUCAGGUUAUAGUUGACACUGAGGAAGACAGUCACUCUGAUGAGGAGGAUGUAGUCUCAGCCGUCACGCCCACAGACUGUUGGCUGAACAUCUGAUGCAUAUGGCACACUUAACUGAAAACACUUCAGGAGUUUCGAAUUCGUCAUCUGGUUGGUUGAAAUUUACAGGAUGUCCAGAAGACGUGUGUGUCAUGUUCUUUAAUGGUCCGCCUGGAAACUAAUGCCAUGACACCAAACCCCUCGUGGAAGAAGAAAGCUGUCGUGUUUACUAGGAUCAACUUAAUGCUGGAUUUUCAAAAGUAUGUGAAGGUCAUGGUUCCACUGUUGCUGUAAACUUGCACAACAUUCUUGAAUGAAUAAUUUAGUAGAUGCAUGCCGGCCUGUUAUUGUAGAGACAUCAACAAAACGUACUUGUGAUUGGUUGCGUCACAUGUCAGUCAAAUGUCCUCUUGGGCGGUCCUUGACCAAUGAAAGCUGCGAUAGAGUCCAGACAUUCUGCCGUCAGUUUGACAGUCUGGCUAUGCGAGACUAGGAGGAUGGGACUGCUCAUCAUCAAGUGCAGAUAUGCUGUCCAAACACAUGUUCAUCUUGUCUCUUUCUUUUCAGUCACCUUAUAUUUUAAUUAUUUUGAAUAGAAUUUACUGAUAAUUUUUUGUACAUCAUACAUUUAUCAUUGUAGUUUUUACACACAUGAGCUUCAAACUAUUUUGGAAUGUACAUGUGUUAUUAUUCAGUCCCGCUCAUACUCAUCAUCAUUACUAAUGCAAUGGUAAAAAGCACUACAAUAGGUGCAAAACAAAAAGGUUUUCAGAUUUAUCUUUUACUUCAACCAAAAAUCAAAUGUUCUCUAAAAGCACAUGAUCUUAAGAUGUUCCCACCAUAGUACUUUGGCCGUCUCCACCCACACCUGGCUGCUGACUCUCCCAGUCAUCCACAGUGAUCCACUCAGAGUUCUCUGUGGCCUGUCUAGCCAUCCCCAGCCGAUGACAAUCUUCAAUCAGACCUUUCUUUUUACAGCUAUCUCCAACUGGAGAGAUUAUUCCUUUAAGCGAAGCAAAAAGGUUGUGUCAGAUUUAUCUUUUACUUCAACCAAAAAUCAAAUGUUCUCUAAAAGCACAUGAUCUUAAGAUGUUCCCAUCGUAGUACUUUGGCUGUCUCCACCCACUCCGGCUGCUGACUCUCCCAGUCAUCCACAGUGAUCCACUCAGAGUUUUCUGUGGUCAGUCUAGCCAUCUCAAACCAAUGACAAUCUUCAAUCAGACCUUUCUUUUUUCUAACUAUCUCCAACUGGAGAGAUUAUUCCUUUCACCACUAUGUAUCUUCCUGAUUCAACAAAGAAAUACAAAAAUAUGAAGUUAUAUGUGUUAAAUAUGUAUAAUUAUCAAAAAAAAAAAAAAAAAAAAAAGACUGGUAACAAAAACAUUGUUUUUUUUUUUUUUAUAUUUAUAUAUAAAUAUAUAAUUUUUUCAUUUAAAAUUUACCAGCCAGUUCAAACAUACGCUUGUUUGUGAUGGGGUUGAAGGACCUGCAUGCCAGCAGCACCACUUUGGUCUUCUUUCAUGCUGUCACUCAUUACGUCUCAUGCAAGGGUAAUAUAUUUAUAUUAUUAAGAACUUUGUCUGUCUUGCUGUUUGUUUAGAGCAGUAUUUAAAGGUGAUAGAGAGGAUUUUUUCGUUGACUGAGAAUCCAAAGACUGUUACUGAGUUUUUGAAAUGAGCGCAUGCGUAAGAACGCCCCCCUCCUUCAC